rfam:Lasallia pustulata genome assembly, contig: scaffold18860_size11602
AAGGAAUUAGCUCAACGGUAGAGCUACCGUUUUACACACGGUGGGUUAGGUGUUCAAAUCACCUAUUCCUUA